rnacentral:rRNA from 1 species
CCUGAGAAACCCAAAAGAUCGAAUGGGGAGAUUCAUCGUCAGCGAUUUUGGUACGUGUGCGGCUCGCGAUGCCGGAGACUUCGGUCUCCAGGCACGCGUCCGCAUGUUUUUUAUUGCCUUAGUCGUCGGCGUGCACUUCUCCCCUAGUAGGACGUCGCGACCCGUUGGGUGUCGGUCUACGGCCUGGGUGGUAGCCUGUCUCGUGUUCGCUUCACGGCGUUACGCGGUUCAGACCCCCGGUUGCCCGACCGGCUGCCCGGCGGUACUCGCACGGUAUCUGGCCGCAAAUAUUCGAACUGCGUCCGGCCCGUCGCAAGCGAGGCAAGUGUUUCCCGGUUGUACGGAUCUAAUGCCGUCACCGGGCCUUGCCAGCUGUUGGUUGACGGUGUCCUAGGACUGGCUAAUAUAAUUAUGAUACCGGUCGGCGACGCUACUGCUUUGGGUACUUUCAGGACCCGUCUUGAAACACGGACCAAGGAGUCUAACAUGUGCGCGAGUCAUUGGGAACUAUUAAGCCUAAAGGCGCAAUGAAAGUGAAGGUCGGCCUUGCGCCGACCGAGGGAGGAUGGGCCGCGUCACGAUGCGGUCCCGCACUCCCGGGGCGUCUCGUUCNCAUUGCGA